rnacentral:lncRNA from 1 species
AAUUUCAUGAUAUUCGAAAAUGGGUAUACACUCAAAUUACUUUAUGAAGGAUUUAUAAGACUUUGAAUUUUUUUUCAAUAUGGAUAUACAUGAUUACUUCAUUACUCUACUUAAAUUGAAAAUUUAUGCUAUGAAUUGCAUACUACUACAAUGAAUUGAUAUUUCUAAAGGCUUUCGAGAUAAAAGUCGUGAUUUGAGUUGUACUACGGGAGAUGUAUUCUUAUUAUGAAUUGAAG